rnacentral:rRNA from 1 species
UACGUAGGGUGCGAGCGUUGUCCGGAAUUAUUGGGCGUAAAAGGGCUCGUAGGCGGUUUGUCGCGUCGGGAGUGAAAUCCACUGGCUUAACUGGUGGCUUGCUUUCGAUACGGGCAGACUGGAGGUAUGCAGGGGAGAACGGAAUUCCUGGCGUAGCGGUGAAAAUGCGCAGAUAUCAGGAGGAACACCAAUGGCGAAGGCAGCUCGCUGGGACGUGACUGACGCUGAGGCGCGAAAGCUAGGGGAGCAAACGGG